GACGAACGCUGGCGGCAUGCCUAAUACAUGCAAGUCGAGCGAACAGAUGAAGUGCUUGCACUUCUGGCGUUAGCGGCGAACGGGUGAGUAACACGUAAGGAAUCUACCUAUAAGCGGGGGAUAACAUUCGGAAACGGGUGCUAAUACCGCAUAAUAUCUUCUUCCGCAUGGAAGAAGAUUGAAAGACGGCUCUGCUGUCACUUAUAGAUGACCUUGCGGUGCAUUAGUUAGUUGGUGGGGUAACGGCCUACCAAGACGAUGAUGCAUAGCCGACCUGAGAGGGUGAUCGGCCACAUUGGGACUGAGACACGGCCCAAACUCCUACGGGAGGCAGCAGUAGGGAAUCUUCCGCAAUGGGCGAAAGCCUGACGGAGCAACGCCGCGUGAGUGAAGAAGGCCUUCGGGUCGUAAAACUCUGUUAUAAGAGAAGAACAAAUUGUAGAGUAACUGCUACAGUCUUGACGGUAUCUUAUCAGAAAGCCACGGCUAACUACGUGCCAGCCGCCGCCGUAA
rnacentral:rRNA from 1 species